UUUCCGUAGGUGAACCUGCGGAAGGAUCAUUAUUGUAUAACAGAGCUGCUAAGGCUUUCGCUAACCCUAAAGGUCGUGCACGCCCGAGUGCCCUCACACACAUCCAUCUCACGCCUAUGUGCACCACCGCGUGGAUCCCCCCUUGGCUUGUUCGGGGGCGAGCUUAAGUUUUCACACAAACUUUGUAUGCACUGUAGACUGUAUUUUUUGUUUUUGAGGUCACGCAAUCAAUACAACUUUCUACAACGGAUCUCUUCGCUCUCGCAUCUAUGAAGAACC
rnacentral:misc_RNA from 1 species